rnacentral:rRNA from 1 species
UGGGGAAUAUUGCACAAUGGGCGAAAGCCUGAUGCAGCAACGCCGCGUGAGUGAUGAAGGCCUUCGGGUUGUAAAGCUCUGUCUUUUGGGACGAUAAUGACGGUACCAAAGGAGGAAGCCACGGCUAACUACGUGCCAGCAGCCGCGGUAAUACGUAGGUGGCAAGCGUUGUCCGGAUUUACUGGGCGUAAAGGAUGCGUAGGCGGAUUUUUUAAGUGAGAUGUGAAAUACCCGGGCUUAACUUGGGUGCUGCAUUUCAAACUGGGAAUCUAGAGUGCGGGAGAGGAGAAUGGAAUUCCUAGUGUAGCGGUGAAAUGCGUAGAGAUUAGGAAGAACACCAGUGGCGAAGGCGAUUCUCUGGACCGUAACUGACGCUGAGGCAUGAAAGCGUGGGUAGCAAACAGGAUUAGAUACCCUGGUAGUCCACGCCGUAAACGAUGAGUACUAGGUGUAGGAGGUAUCGACCCCUUCUGUGCCGCAGUUAACACAAUAAGUACUCCGCCUGGGAAGUACGAUCGCAAGA